UAGAUACAUAGAUAUAUAUGGUAUUUAUUCGAUGCAAUUUUCAUAUUUCUUUGACUGCAAAUUAGACAGUUACAACAUUUGUAUCAAAAUGAAAGGUUAUUACUUCAUAUGCGUUAUGAUGUUAUGUUUGGCUGUGCAGGAAACAGUCACUUAUGCAAUUAACGAUUUGACGAACAAAAAGGCUGAAUACAAGAAGAUAAAUGCCAAUAUGUUAAACGAGAGUCCAUUUAAAGUCGAUAGGUUGGUGAAAAGGGACACAAACUUGGGAAGAAAAAAGCAACCGGAAUAGAUUUCGUUACAAUAGAAAAGAACGAUGGAUGUUAUAACGAACAUAAUUCCUGAAAAUCAAAGGACUAUAACUACUAUAUACUCGUAUGACUAUAGACAUCUACAACAAUAACAAUAUAAAUCUAUAUAUCCGCUUCUCAGAUGUAUUUGACUACAGAACAACCUUUACCUGUUGAAUUUGUGAAAUGGAUUUAUCCAUCUUUGAAUUUGGAACAGUCCAAUCAAAGUUUUAGGGGUUUUAAUAUCAAAAUACAAAAAAUGAACUGCCAAUCGUAUAGAGGCUUGUCAGACUAUAAGGAUGUGCAGGAUGACUUGGCUAUAUACUGGUGUCAAAGGUUAAUCACUUUUGGACUUCCGGUUUCAGCAGGGUGUUAGUAAUUAGUGAACAUAUCACAAACUAAUAUCAGCAGAUAUCUCUAUAUCAUCUUGUUGAAUAUACAUGUGUAUUAAUAUCGUAUAGUUUAUAUAUUACAUGUAUAUAUCACACAUCUAUGCAUCAUAAUUCUCGCACUUACAGAUACAGUGACAUAUUUUCCAUGCAUGUAAAAAUUUCUGCAAGCAUAAUGGGACAAUUACAAGAAAAAAUAUGAAUAGGGAAAUAAACCCGGGAAACAAAGAAUGACACCUGAAAAAAUAUCAUUUUCAGUAAAAAAAAAAUAUGGAAAGUAAAAUAAACCUGGAAAUAAAAAGAAUGACUUCCAAAAAAAAAAACUCAUCAUAUUCAGUACGAUUAAAAUGAAGUCAUGCAAA